GUGGGGAAUAUUGGGCAAUGGGGGCAACCCUGACCCAGCGACGCCGCGUGAGGGAAGAAGGCCUUAGGGUCGUAAACCUCUGUUGUGUGGGAAGAAGGAAGUGACGGUACCACACGAGGAAGUCCCGGCUAACUACGUGCCAGCAGCCGCGGUAAUACGUAGGGGACGAGCGUUGUCCGGAAUUACUGGGCGUAAAGGGCGCGUAGGCGGUCAUUUAAGUCAGCUGUGAAAUGGUCCGGCUCAACCGGAUAAUGCGGUUGAAACUGGAUGACUGGAGUGCUGGAGAGGCAAGUGGAAUUCCCAGUGUAGCGGUGAAAUGCGUAGAUAUUGGGAAGAACACCGGUGGCGAAGGCGACUUGCUGGCCAGCAACUGACGCUGAGGCGCGAAAGCCAGGGGAGCAAACGGGAUUAGAUACCCGAGUAGUCC
rnacentral:rRNA from 1 species